rnacentral:rRNA from 1 species
UGGUUUACUAGAUCGUACCAAUCCUACUUGGAUAACUGUGGUAAUUCUAGAGCUAAUACAUGCUUCAAUAUUUCCGACCUUAACGGGGAGGAAGGCUUUUAUUAGACCAGAACCUAUUCGGUGCCGCGGGUUCGCGCUCGCGAGUGCCGGUUUCUUGGUGACUCUGAAUAACUUUGGGCUGAUCGCACGGUCUUUGCACCGGCGACGGGUCUUUCAAAUGUCUGACUUAUCAACUGUCGAUGGUAGGUUAUGCGCCUACCAUGGUUGUCACGGGUAACGGGGAAUCAGGGUUCGAUUCCGGAGAGGGAGCCUGAGAAACGGCUACCACAUCCAAGGAAGGCAGCAGGCGCGCAAAUUACCCACUCCCGGCACGGGGAGGUAGUGACGAAAAAUAACAAUACGGGACUCAUCCGAGGCCCCGUAAUUGGAAUGAGUACACUUUAAAUCCUUUAACGAGGAUCCAUUGGAGGGCAAGUCUGGUGCCAGCAGCCGCGGUAAUUCCAGCUCCAAUAGCGUAUAUUAAAGUUGCUGCGGUUAAAAAGCUCGUAGUUGGAUCCCAGUUGCAGACGGGCGGUCCGCCUCAUGGCGGUUCACUGCCCCGUUCUCGACAUACCUCCGGUUAUAUUUGUCCCGCGAUGCUCUUUACCGGGUGUCGCGGGGGGCCGGUACGUUUACUUUGAAAAAAUUAGAGUGCUCAAAGCAGGCGAUGGCCAGAAUAAUGGUGCAUGGAAUAAUGGAUAGGACCUCGGUUCUAUCUUGUUGGUUCUUCGGAACACGAGGUAAUGAUUAAUAGGGACGGACGGGGGCAUUCGUAUUGCGACGUUAGAGGUGAAAUUCUUGGAUCGUCGCAAGACGAACUACUGCGAAAGCAUUUGCCAAGAAUGUUUUCGUUAAUCAAGAACGAAAGUUAGAGGUUCGAAGGCGAUCAGAUACCGCCCUAGUUCUAACCAUAAACGAUGCCAACCAGCGAUCCGUCGGCGUUACUUCGAAUGACCCGACGAGCAGCUUCCGGGAAACCAAAGUUUCUGGGUUCCGGGGGAAGUAUGGUUGCAAAGCCGAAACUUAAAGGAAUUGACGGAAGGGCACCACCAGGAGUGGAGCCUGCGGCUUAAUUUGACUCAACACGGGAAACCUCACCAGGCCCGGACACUUGGAGGAUUGACAGAUUGAGAGCUCUUUCUUGAUUCAGUGGGUGGUGGUGCAUGGCCGUUCUUAGUUGGUGGAGCGAUUUGUCUGGUUAAUUCCGAUAACGAACGAGACCCUUUCCUGCUAAAUAGGCAGAAGAUCCUCAUGUAGUGUCUGACGUUCUUCUUAGA